rnacentral:rRNA from 1 species
AUUGAACGCUGGCGGCAGGCCUAACACAUGCAAGUCGAACGAGUGGCGGACGGGUGAGUAAUGUCUGGGAAACUGCCUGAUGGAGGGGGAUAACUACUGGAAACGGUAGCUAAUACCGCAUACCCUCGGAUGUGCCCAGGUGGGAUUAUCAAGGAGGAUGGGUAAAGGCUCACCUAGGCGACGAUCCCUAGCUGGUAUGCGAGGAAGACCAGCCACACUGGAACUGAGACACGGUCCAGACUCCUACGUGAGGCAGCAGUGGGGAAUAUUGCACAAUGGGCGCAAGCCUGAUGCAGCCAUGCCGCGUGUAUGAAGAAGGCCUUCGGGUUGUAAAGUUCUUUCAGCGGGGAGGCGUUACCCGCAGAAGAAGCACCGGCUAACUCCGUGCCAGCAGCCGCGGUAAUUC